UCCUCUGUAGUUCAGUCGGUAGACCGGCGGACUGUUAAUCCGUAUGACACUGGUUCGAGUCCAGUCAGAGGAGCCA
rnacentral:tRNA from 1 species